CGGACGGGUGAGUAAUGUAUGGGGAUCUGCCUGAUGGCGGGGGAUAACUACUGGAAACGGUAGCUAAUACCGCAUAAUGUCUGCGGACCAAAGCGGGGGACCUCCGGGCCUCGCGCCAUCAGAUGAACCCAUAUGGGAUUAGCUAGUAGGUAAGGUAACGGCUUACCUAGGCGACGAUCCCUAGCUGGUCUGAGAGGAUGAUCAGCCACACUGGGACUGAGACACGGCCCAA
rnacentral:rRNA from 1 species